rnacentral:rRNA from 1 species
GAUGAACGCUGGCGGCGUGCCUAAUACAUGCAAGUCGAGCGAACGGACGAGAAGCUUGCUUCUCUGAUGUUGGCGGCGGACGGGUGAGUAACACGUGGAUAACCUACCUAUAAGACUGGGAUAACUUCGGGAAACCGUAGCUAAUACCGGAUAAUAUUUUGAGCCGCAUGGUUCAAAAGUGAAAGACGGUCUUGCUGUCACUUAUAGAUGGAUCCGCGCUGCAUUAGCUAGUUGGUAAGGUAACGGCUUACCAAGGCAACGAUGCAUAGCCGACCUGAGAGGGUGAUCGGCCACACUGGAACUGAGACACGGUCCAGACUCCUACGGGAGGCAGCAGUAGGGAAUCUUCCGCAAUGGGCGAAAGCCUGACGGAGCAACGCCGCGUGAGUGAUGAAGGUCUUCGGAUCGUAAAACUCUGUUAUUAGGGAAGAACAUAUGUGUAAGUAACUGUGCACAUCUUGACGGUACCUAAUCAGAAAGCCACGGCUAACUACGUG